rnacentral:tRNA from 1 species
GCCGAGUUAGUUUAAGAAAAAUAUUAGGUUGUGGUUCUAAAGAUGUCUAAGGAUACUUUGCC